rnacentral:rRNA from 1 species
CCUACGGGUGGCAGCAGUGGGGAAUAUUGGGCAAUGGACGCAAGCCUGACCCAGCAACGCCGCGUGAAGGAAGAAGGCUUUCGGAUUGUAAACUUCUUUUCUCAGGGACGAAGCAAGUGACGGUACCUGAGGAAUAAGCCACGGCUAACUACGUGCCAGCAGCCGCGGUAAUACGUAGGUGGCAAGCGUUAUCCGGAUUGACUGGGUGUAAAGGGCGUGUAGGCGGGAAAGCAAGUCAGAUGUGAAAACCAUGGGCUCAACCUGGGGACUGCAUUUGAAACUGUUUGUCUUGAGUACUGGAGAGGCAGACGGAAUUCCUAGUGUAGCGGUGAAAUGCGGAGAUAUUAGGAGGAACACCAGUGGCGAAGGCGGUUUGCUGGACAGUAACUGACGCUGAGGCGCGAAAGCGUGGGGAGCAAACAGGAUUAGAUACCCGAGUAGUC